rnacentral:rRNA from 1 species
AUAGCCAUGCAUGUCUCAGUACAUGCCGAAUUAAGGUGAAACCGCGAAUGGCUCAUUAAAUCAGUUAUGGUUCAUUAGAUCGUGGACACAUUUACUUGGAUAACUGUGGUAAUUCUAGAGCUAAUACAUGCAAACAGAAUUCCUCUCAGAGAUGGGAGGAAUGCUUUUAUUAGAUCAAAACCAAUCGGUGGCGGACGGCUCGUCCGUUCGUCCAUCGUUUGUUUUGGUGACUCUGAAUAACUUUGUGCUGAUCGCAUGGUCAUCUAGCACCGGCGACGCAUCUUUCAAAUGUCUGCCUUAUCAACUGUCGAUGGUAGGUUCUGCGCCUACCAUGGUUGUAACGGGUAACGGGGAAUCAGGGUUCGAUUCCGGAGAGGGAGCCUGAGAAACAGCUACCACAUCCAAGGAAGGCAGCAGGCGCGCAAAUUACCCACUCCCGGCACGGGGAGGUAGUGACGAAAAAUAACGAUACGGGACUCAUCCGAGGCCCCGUAAUCGGAAUGAGUACACUUUAAAUCCUUUAACGAGGACCAAUUGGAGGGCAAGUCUGGUGCCAGCAGCCGCGGUAAUUCCAGCUCCAAUAGCGUAUAUUAAAGUUGUUGCGGUUAAAAAGCUCGUAGUUGAAUCUGUGUGUCACAGUGUCGGUUCACCGCUCGCGGUGUUUAACUGGCAUUAUGUGGUACGUCCUAUCGGUGGGCUUAGCUCCUUGCGGGCGGUCCAACUAAUAUCCCAUCGCGGUGCUCUUCACUGAGUGUCGAGGUGGGCCGAUACGUUUACUUUGAAAAAAUUAGAGUGCUUAAAGCAGGCUACCUUUGCCUGAAUACUGUGUGCAUGGAAUAAUGGAAUAGGACCUCGGUUCUAUUUUGUUGGUUUUCGGAACCCCGAGGUAAUGAUUAAUAGGGACAGAUGGGGGCAUUCGUAUUGCGACGUUAGAGGUGAAAUUCUUGGAUCGUCGCAAGACGGACAGAAGCGAAAGCAUUUGCCAAAAAUGUUUUCAUUAAUCAAGAACGAAAGUUAGAGGUU